rnacentral:tRNA from 1 species
CCCUGCCGGGCUUCGCGGUGUGCGGCGCGCUCUACGACGGCGUGGGGAUCCCGGCGUGCGUCGCGAGCGCGGGCAAGGCC